rnacentral:rRNA from 1 species
GACGAACGCUGGCGGCGUGCUUAACACAUGCAAGUCGAACGGAAAGGCCAGUGCUUGCACUGGUACUCGAGUGGCGAACAGGUGAGUAACACGUGGGUGAUCUGCCUUGCACUCUGGGAUAAGCUUGGGAAACUGGGUCUAAUACCGGAUAUGAACUGCCUUUAGUGUGGUGGUUGGAAAGUUUUUUCGGUGCAAGAUGAGCUCGCGGCCUAUCAGCUUGUUGGUGGGGUAAUGGCCUACCAAGGCGUCGACGGGUAGCCGGCCUGAGAGGGUGUACGGCCACAUUGGGACUGAGAUACGGCCCAGACUCCUACGGGAGGCAGCAGUGGGGAAUAUUGCACAAUGGGCGGAAGCCUGAUGCAGCGACGCCGCGUGGGGGAUGACGGCCUUCGGGUUGUAAACUCCUUUCGACAGGGACGAAGCGUAAGUGACGGUACCUGUAUAAGAAGCACCGGCUAACUACGUG